UACGAAGGGGGCGAGCGUUGUUCGGAAUUACUGGGCGUAAAGGGCGCGUAGGCGGCCGAUCAAGUCAGAUGUGAAAGUCCUGGGCUUAACCUGGGGACUGCAUUUGAUACUGAUUGGCUUGAAUUCGGGAGAGGAUAGCGGAAUUCCCAGUGUAGAGGUGAAAUUCGUAGAUAUCGGGAGGAACACCGGUGGCGAAGGCGGCGACCUGGGUCGAGACUGACGCUAAUACGCGAAAGCGUGGGGAGCAAACAGG
rnacentral:rRNA from 1 species